CCUAGCCUCUCCUGGGGGAAUUCCUUCCUGGGCUGAGCCGGGUCCACGCCGGGUGCUCUGGUGUCCCCAGGGAAGCUCUGCCCUUUCCGGCACAACCAGGGGGAGAAGAUGGUGGUGUGCAAACACUGGCUUCGCGGCCUGUGUAAGAAGGGCGACCAGUGCGGUUUCCUGCACCAGUACGAUGUCACCAGGAUGCCCAAGUGCUACUUCUACUCCAAGUUCGGUAAUGUCCCGCCGUGGCUCCAGGCCUUGCCCGGGAGGUUGGCAGGGUGGACUGUGAGAGGGACAGAAGUUUUGAGAGGGGCACGUAGAGGAGGCCGUGCAUGCCUCUCUGAGCCUCGGGUGCUGCUUCUCCAGCCCCCUAGGUACAGGGGCCCCUGGUUGUUGUUGUUUUUUUAAGGAUUUUUUUUUUUUUUUUUUUUACUUGACAGACAGAGAUCACAAGUAGGCAGAGAGGCAGGCAGAGAGAGAGGAGGAAGCAGGCUCCCCGCUGAGCAGAGAGCCUGAUGUGGGGCUUGAUCCCAGAACCCUGAGAUCAUGACCUGAGCCGAAGGCAGAGGCUUUAAGCCACUGAGCCACCCAGGCACCUCAGGGGGUCCCUGUUUUGCUGCCCCGAAGGCACACACGGGUCCCUCUGAGGGAAGGGGAGGGUGUGGCUGGAAUCAGGGGCUGAAUAGUUCCCCGGACGGUCCUGGCUAAUCACAUACCCGGACUGAAUGUCCGGAAACAAGUCUUGAAAGGGCGAUCUCUCUGUCCCGGGGUGGGUCUGGGCCAGGGAGCCCCAAACAAGCAUUUGGAAGCCACUUUCCCAGUGCUUGUCCAACACACAGAGCACCUGUUCUGCUGGCCAGUAUCAUUGUCUGCUCUCUCCACUGUCUUACUUAUUAAGUCUUAUUUUAGAAGGAAACUUGACAUCGUUUCCGUAAGUAGAAAACGAGCAUCUCUUAGGGGCAGUGCGAGGUAACUAAGCAGACAGUCGUGAGGCUCAGACCCCCUAACCUCUCCACUUAUCUUGUGUGGUCAGGUCUGGCCUCAGGACCACCUUUUGUCAUCCACGGGGCUGCAGAGCGGGGAGCCACAGCCACGUGUUCUCUCCCUUAAGAAGGGUCUGUGAAUGUGUUUUAGAUCUCAUAAAAUAUCUUCCCAAUACCAUUCUACCGCUCUGUUCUUUCCGGAGCUGGAAGGAGCCCUAGGGAUUAUGUAGCCUAGCGCUUUUCAGACUGUGUUCCAAAAGAGUGACCGGGGAGGGGAGAGCUGGCCCAGUCUCCAGAGACCUCUCUGACUGAGACAGCUGCAGGGGUCGCUGUCCCUCAUUAGUGCCAGCGGGUCCCCCCCUCCCCCCAGCGUUGUAGGGGGAGUCUCGGGUAUGUGGGAAGAAGGCAAAGCAUCCUCGAAGAGCCCCUCCCAGGCCAGAAGUCCAUGGCCCGUGCGCUCAGAGCUGGGGUUCAGCUGCCCACGUGUGUUCUUUGAAAGGAAGGACAAAGUUUACCUGGAGCCCCGCUCCCCUUGGUCACCGCCUAAACCUCUUUCAUUUAAAAAAUGCCAUUUAUUCAUUCCUUCAGGAAAACUUGGUUCUGUUUUCUUUUGGGACUUGGAUGCUGUGCUGGGGACGGGCACAGGGAUGGGACCAGGUUCCCUUCUGCCCCCCAAUACCUCUCACGGUGAGGGGCAUCCUUGUAAAUCAUUGACGGUCGUUUGUAACCUCUGUUUCUGCUCUUAGAGUAAAUGAGUAUCUCUAAUAGCCCCUCAAAGGGAUUCUGCUUCUUCCUGCAAGGAAGUUGAUUUGUUUAGAGCCUUAGAGCUCUAGCUCUCAGGAGCACAGGAUGAAAGGGGCCAGGGUCUUUGGGCACAGCCGCGGGCUGGGGAAGGCAGCGUGGAGGGUGGGGUCUGGGUGCCACCUGCUGGCCGUCAGGGGUGCGCGGAGACGUGCAUCCAGGCAGGGGCAGAAAGGGAGCCCUGUGCGGGUGAUUUCCCACUGCCUGACCUGUCAAAUGCUCACCAGCCCUGGAGUGGGGCGAGGAGGGGGUAUGUCACUUCCAUUCCUCUGGAGGCCGGAGCCAGGAGUCUGCGCUCUGCCAAGGGCUGCACACAGACGACCAGCACGGAAACCCAUCGUCAGUGCAAGCAAGGCUGGUGAUCGUGGCCACGGCAUUUCCCCUGUCCGAGCCCUGGUGUCCUCAUUCGUGAGACGGCAGGACCUGGAAGGAUGGUGGUUUAAAGCUCUGUGGCAUCCGUGGCCCUCUUCUCCAGGUGAAAGCCAAUGGUGUGAACAUCGUGAAGUUCCUUUUGGUUCUGAGAAGCACCACGUUGUAGAUUGUUAGGGAGGAUGAGAUUGGAAGCCUUUACCGCUUCUCUACUCAAAUGAAGUGAAAAAUGAGCCGAAGCUUCCCCAAGGCUCCUUCCAAGUUCCUGGCCCCUAAGAGAAACCUAAGAGGGUUCUUCCCGCAACUCUCAAGUGGUCUGUCCGACAGGGCUGGUUCCUUUUAGGGAACCUGAGUCCUGGUCCCUCUACAGACCAAUGACAGUGCAGAUGUCGUGAAACUACAGGUGUCCCUCUGUGUUGCGUCUGGCAUCAUCCCAGUGCCCCCUUGGAGGCACGACUCUGCUCUUCUUGGCAUUUCCACCAAAAAGGACUGUGCCCUGGUUCUGGAAGCACCGUGGGUCUCCUAGCGAUGAAGGCAAGAGGGUUUAAUCAGAUUGUUUCCACGAUGUGUCUUCUUGGAUGGUUAGCUGCUUACUCUGGGUCUCCCCUCCCCACCUCUCCUCUCGUUCCUUCCUCUCUGGUAGCCUCCAAAUGCCUUCAGUUCCAGCCCCUCCUUCAAGAUCUCUGGCCCUGCCUCAACACUGCUAGGUGUGCUUAUUCCUACCCCAGUCCUGCUGGGCACAUAGUAAUGGGAUCCAUCCUCCUUAGAUUGUUGGAAGGAUCAGAAAAACCUCUCUGUGGCUGGUGGCAGACAGCAGGCAAGUGGCUUCUGUGCAAGGGGCAAGGUCCGUCCAGUCUGGGGAGGAUGGAAAGAGCACUAAAGAUGAGCCUGCUUUUAAAGAAUGCUGGACUUUUCAGGUGAUUGCAACAAGAAGGAAUGUUCCUUUCUCCAUGUGAAGCCAGCUUUCCAGACCCGGGACUGUCCUUGGUAUGACCAAGGUUUCUGCAAGGAUGAUCUGGAACCUUCUCUACCUUCACGGGCCCAAGGUGGGAAAUGAAGUAUCUGUCCCAAGAUGAAUCUUUCAUUCAACUCGAGCUACACGAAGCUAGUCCACGGGCCACGGCGUUCAGCACCUCCUGCUUCCGCCUGGGAGCGUCGCAAGCCCCCUUCCACGACCACGGAGUGCCGGCUUCUCCACCCUCAGAGGCAGCCCCAGGAGCCCCUGCUCUCCUGCCGCUUGGGGCUCAGGGCACGGGAGCAGAGCCCGUGCUACACGUGUUGUAACAUGGGCCAUUAUGCCAGCCAGAGCAGUAAGACUCCAACAGGUAGGAGUUAUCAAAAAGUAACCCCAGGUCGGUGGGCUAACUGACGACCAUCCAGCGAAGAAACCCAACGGCCACUCUGUGGGAUCCUCUGGUCCCCAUGCCCAGCGCGCCCUCGUGUUGGCCCCCAUGGGGCUGGAGAUGCGGAAGUAGUGGCCUGGUGCAUGGGGGCUUAUUUCCUCUAAUCCUGUAAGGGAGCCUGCUGGUAGAAAUACACCAGGACUGGAGGCAGAUGGGACUGUGGUAGGGGUCACAAAAUGGGGGAGUAGGAUGGAAGUACACCCAGAGCUCGGGUUUGUGGGACAUGCACGGGUCCUGCUCCGCGUGGCUCUUGCACCACAGCCAAGCUCAAGCCAUUCACGGCAGUGCUGUGCACACGGCCUCUCCUGCUGCUGGGAACUGAUUAAACCCAAUGGUUUUCUUCAGCAUGACAGCUGCCUCCCUGCGUGGCUUCCUUCAGUUUAAGGCUCUAUUCUGUGUGUGCUUUAGGCGAGGAGUUACAGACAGGGUGAUGGUGCAAACAAGGCUUGUCUCUGGGAGGGGAGGGAGUGAUGUGCACCAUUUAAGGCCACACUAAGUCAAAGGCCAUUGUGAUUUAAUCUGUAGGGAGAAGUGCAGGCUAAGCCAAGCCUUUUCGGGAAAGGGAGAAAACGGUAGGUGUGGUCGGAGCAGGUGUGCCAGCACCCCCUUUGGCAGAUGGAGACGGCGGCCCGGCCUGCCCGGAGCUGGAGGGAAAGUGGACGGGGCCGUCCUCCCCCAGGGCUGCUGAGACCAACACCAAGCAGUUGUGGAGGCAAACUGCCUCACGUCAGGCCUCCGCUUCCUCAUGCUUAAACACGAACCUGGCACCCGCCUCACCGGGUGGUCGGUAGGCUAGACCGAGAGCGUGCAGGUCAAGAACUUGGCACAGCACUUGACUUUGAUUGCGGAGUAGGCACUCACACGGCAGCCAGGCUUUUGUGUGAAUUGUGGUGGGGUCUUUCUUGCUUGGUUCAAGGUUAGAAUCUGAACACAGGAUGACGCCACUGAGGUUUCGUCCUGAGAGACUCCAAGAAGUAAGACAACAUGCCCGGGGCCACGCCCACCCAACUCAAAGAUGAUGGUCUAGCAGAGGCCAAUAAUAGAGGGGAAAUAAAAAUACAUACAUUUAAAAAUGUGCUCUUUCUGAAAGGUGGUGGUGAUCCCACAGAGGAGCACAGGAAGCAGGCCAAUCAGGAUCAUCUGUAAAUCAGGAACAGUGGCAGCAGACACGGUUUCCCAUAGGAGCAACACACCCCAUUGCUAACAACACGAUUAUCUUUAAGAACUAAAUACUUGAAUGUAUAUUAGACAAAAGUACUUUCCCCAGUCCAUUCAGCAUCUCAGAUAUUCCCACUCGGGCCUAAACUCCAGUAGCUGACGCCCGGGUAACCACCCUACAGAGCACAAGGGCGCAGCCAGGGCAAUGGGGGGGCCCUUGAGGAUUUCUGGCCUUCCAGAACGGGCCCCUCCUUGUGAGUCUUCUCACAGGUGGAGUGAAGCCUGGCCAUCCCAGAAACUCCUCCUCUCCUCAGGAGGGACGGGAAGGCGGGUGGGGACUGUUUGUAUGGAUUCUCUGCCCGCUGCUGAACCAGAAGCAAAACCUAAGCACUGUUGCUUACCCAAGAAGAGCUCCCGCCAGGCCCGUGGAAGGCACCGAGCAUCGUUCUGGGAGACAAAAUCCAGGAGGCUGUUUAACACGGCUCCUCAAGCUAUGAGCAUUCCCGACUUCUUUUUCUCAGCUUUGUGAAGAGCAGUUACUUGUGCCUCGCGUCUGCAGGACGCUGGCUUCUGGCAGCUCAGGCUCCCGUGUCUGCAUUUCCAGUUUGGAAAAGAAUCUCUGGUCUUGUGGGAUGGAGCCUUGCAUCCGCCACGUUGCACGCAGGACUGGGGCAGGCUGUGCAAAUGAACUUGUGGGGGUAUCUGCAUGUACGAGUAGUAAAUCUGGCCUCACAAACUAGACUCACAGUACUCGUGGAAGUGGGAGCUAUGAAGUGUAUUCCAUCACUCGCAGUUGGGCUUGACCUCAGUCAGCGGGUAUCCGCUGACCUCAACAACUCAGACUACUGGAUAAUGUACACCCAGAACCAGGCCAGUCCACAGUCAAAAAACGGACUUCCUCUGUAACCAUUUUAGAUUCCAAUAAUUUUAUUCUUUUUACUCCCUCUCCCCCAAACCAUCUUCAAUGGUUAAAUGUUCACUGCUGGUGUCCCAGCGUAUGCCCCCUGAGGGCUCCAGGCUUCCAUCCUGUGUCCCGGUCACCACUUCUGCCAGCGCUGCAGCUCUUUGGAUAAAUAGAGAGAAGUGUAAGGACCCAAGAGGCCACUUCUUUUUCUUUUUUU